UCCCUGAUGGUCCAGUGGCAAAGACGCUGCACUCCCAGUGCAGGUGACCUAGGUUCAAUCCCUGGUCAGGGAG